rnacentral:miRNA from 1 species
ACCUUAGAGACCAACUAAGUUUGUUCUGGGUAUAAGCUUUUGUGUGCAUCUGAAGAAAUGUGCAUGCACACGAAAGCUUAUACCCAGAACAAACUUAGUUGGUCUCUAAGGU